GAACGCUGGCGGCGUGCCUAAUACAUGCAAGUCGAGCGAACAGACGAGGAGCUUGCUCCUUUGACGUUAGCGGCGGACGGGUGAGUAACACGUGGAUAACCUACCUAUAAGACUGGGAUAACUUCGGGAAACCGGAGCUAAUACCGGAUAACAUGUUGAACCGCAUGGUUCAACAGUGAAAGACGGUCUUGCUGUCACUUAUAGAUGGAUCCGCGCCGCAUUAGCUAGUUGGUAAGGUAACGGCUUACCAAGGCAACGAUGCGUAGCCGACCUGAGAGGGUGAUCGGCCACACUGGAACUGAGACACGGUCCAGACUCCUACGGGAGGCAGCAGUAGGGAAUCUUCCGCAAUGGGCGAAAGCCUGACGGAGCAACGCCGCGUGAGUGAAGAAGGUCUUCGGAUCGUAAAACUCUGUUAUUAGGGAAGAACAAAUGUGUAAGUAACUAUGCACGUCUUGACGGUACCUAAUCAGAAAGCCACGGCUAACUACGUGCCAGCAGCCGCGGUAAUACGUAGGUGGCAAGCGUUAUCCGGAAUUAUUGGGCGUAAAGCGCGCGUAGGCGGUUUUUUAAGUCUGAUGUGAAAGCCCACGGCUCAACCGUGGAGGGUCAUUGGAAACUGGAAAACUUGAGUGCAGAAGAGGAAAGUGGAAUUCCAUGUGUAGCGGUGAAAUGCGCAGAGAUAUGGAGGAACACCAGUGGCGAAGGCGACUUUCUGGUCUGUAACUGACGCUGAUGUGCGAAAGCGUGGGGAUCAAACAGGAUUAGAUACCCCUGGUAGUCCACGCCGUAAACGAUGAGUGCUAAGUGUUAGGGGGGUUUCCGCCCCUUAGUGCUGCAGCUAACGCAUUAAGCACUCCGCCUGGGGAGUA
rnacentral:rRNA from 1 species